rnacentral:rRNA from 1 species
UACGGAGGGUGCAAGCGUUAUCCGGAUUCACUGGGUUUAAAGGGAGCGUAGGAGGGCAGGUAAGUCCGUGGUGAAAUCUCUGAGCUUAACUCAGAAACUGCCGUGGAUACUAUUUGCCUUGAAUAUUGUGGAGGUGAGCGGAAUAUGUCAUGUAGCGGUGAAAUGCUUAGAUAUGACAUAGAACACCAAUUGCGAAGGCAGCUCACUACACAAUCAUUGACGCUGAGGCACGAAAGCGUGGGGAUCAAACAGG